rnacentral:lncRNA from 12 species
GACCCAUCUGUCACCCAGGAGAAGGAUGUUUUAACCUACUGCCCUGCCAGGACUUUCUCAGUGGAUGUCAUACAAGGGAUACUGAGCAACAUAAUGUGCAACACAGAAACGAUCUCGACCUGAGAGGUUCCUGCUCCCCACCCCAGGACCU